UGUAAUUGGAAUGAUGGGAAUUUAAACCUCUUCCAGAGUAUCAAUUGGAGGGCAAGUCUGGUGCCAGCAGCCGCGGUAAUUCCAGCUCCAAUAGCGUAUAUUAAAAUUGUUGCAGUUAAAAAGCUCGUAGUUGAAUUUCUGCUGCAUUGUUUCUUCUCAUGUCGAGUGAUUCAUUGUGGCUUAUUUCGGAUUGUUUUUUACUUUCCGGAUGAUUACUUUGAGAAAAUUAGAGUGCUCAAAGCAGGCUUUUGCCUUGAAUAGUUUAGCAUGGAAUAAUAAAGUAGGACUUUGGUUCUAUUUUGUUGGUUUUAGGUACCAAAGUAAUGGUUAAUAGGAACAGUUGGGGGCAUUCGUAUUUAACUGUCAGAGGUGAAAUUCUUAGAUUUGUUAAAGACGAACUACUGCGAAAGCAUUUGCCAAGGAUGUUUUCAUUAAUCAAGAACGAAAGUUAGGGGAUCGAAGACGAUCAGAUACCGUCGUAGUCCUAACCAUAAA
rnacentral:rRNA from 1 species